rnacentral:lncRNA from 1 species
CCUCUCCUCUGCUCCUUAAAUAGUUAAAUGCUUUGGUCAGCUGGGAGCAAGCCUGACAGCUGGAAGAGGUGCUACUCCCAGGACUAAGCCAAGGCUGCAUAUUUGCAGCCAGACUAGAAAGAGAAAAUGGCUUUCAGCAACCAUACAAAUGGCAGUUCAGUAAUGCCGAAAUUAUUCCAUAUGUAUGUGGAGCAAAAGAAGACCCUUCGAUUCAACAACUACAGCAACCCAGCCUUGGAGAUGCAGGAGGAGAUAAUGGCAUCUUUCUAUAUCCUCAUCAUUGUUGGGUUUUUUGGCUUUCUUCUGUUUGUCAUGAUGCUCAGCAACAUUGUUUCCAGCAAGCCUGAAAACUACAUUGACUAUCUCUAUUCUGGGAAGUUUAAUCCUCAGAGAAGCAAGAUGGAGCUUUCAGAAAAGGAGAGCAAAGACACUUUUGUUAUCAUCAACGGUGCUGCCUUAAUGGAUCUGCAAAAGCAGGACAUCAAGUAUAUCACCGGACUGGAGGCACUGAGCACAGAUGCAGUUCUUAGGAAUGUGCAUAGUUCCCAGACACUGUCUCCAGCAGAGACCAAUUAGGCAGUUCUGUCAGUGUUGGACCCCACUACCUUUGGCUUCAUCACGGCGUCUGUUUUAAUAACUUCGUGCUUUGAACCAUAAUCUGCUAUUUAUGCACACCACUCCUGACUGCACUUGAUAGCCAUGCUCCCGUUACCACAGCUAAGCUAUUCAGAUCUUAAAAAUUAGAGGUGUUUUGAAGGUGGAAAAAACACUUGCAGUUCCAGAUUUGUUCCUUCUACUCAGCAUGGGUGUUUUUCACAAGAAGGCAAAUACUGCAGUCCAUUUUGAAGAAAGAUAAAUAGCUGGCUACUGCAAUGACAAUUUCUCCUGCUUUGUAGACUCGAUUUAUCUAUUUUCCAGUCAUGCAACGGUGUCAGCUAGCAGAAUCAAAUCCCUUUUUCCAUGAGUGUUUGAUACAAGCAUCAGACAUCUAUCACUGCACAGAGUUCUGUGCAGUGAAAUUUCACCUCCUUCAGCAGUGGCCUCUGCUUUUCAUGACAGGCUGAUGCAAGGGAAACACCAGAAUACAGGAUGAACUCCUACGUGCUGUUUAUCUCCCUGAAAUUCAGCUUCUGAAAACUAGUUUAUUGCUAAUGUAUGGCUGACGUGUUGGUUGAUAUCCCCGUGGGUCUCUCCUUGAAAGAGCCUGUUCCUGCUCACAUCAGUAAUCUGCUCUUGCAAUCUGGUAAUGCAGAAGAGGUGGGCCCUUCCCCAGCCUGUGCUCACCAUGCAACAGGGUCUCUACACUGUGUACUCAGCAUUUGAAUCAGACUGAGCAUUGGUAACAGAUCCAGUGUCUCUGUCUCCUUCCCAGAUUGAGGCACACUCAUCAGCUCUAUGCCAGCUCCAUACUGGGGUGAAAUUCCAGGUGUGGUCCUCCCAUUCUGUGCUCUGUGAAGAAAGUUUUCCUUCCCUUUUCCCUUCCCUAUUUCAGGGAUAUGCAAACGUGUACAUGCUAUUUCAGCCACAUCUGCUAAAAAGCUUCAACUCCUGAAGAUGCUUCAUUCCUACACUUUCCAAGCAAUAGAGGGAGCUGUGUCUCUGAUGCCACCAAUGGAGAAGUGGUAAGCUCAACCUCUGUGGAGAAUCCCUAUACAGGAAAACAAAUUUCAUCAGUUUUCACACUGUGCCUCACAGAUCUUUGUGGGAAUCCUUCAGCUGUUGUGCUAGUCUGUUAUGAGAAAUUUGGCACUGUUACUUGUGAUACUGGCUCAAUUUAUAUUCCAAAGUUUCCACCUUUCUCUGUGUUUCCAUCCUUGGGUCAUCACUGAUUUUGGCAAGUGCUUCUCUUAUUGGUUCCAUCAUGGAUUCAGAGCUAAAAUUACAUACUUCUGGAAAAUCUCUUUUGAUAUCAGAAGCAUUGCUUUGGUGUGACUUUAGCUGGUGCUCAGUAUGCCAUCAGAUAGUCAGGAGUGAAAACAGAUUAUUGAAAUUGGGAAUGGCAUUUUUUAGAAAAAAAAUACUGGAAAAAAACACAACGCAGAUUUUGUGUAGAAUAAUAUUCCCAAGUAUUAGUUUUUUUAAAAAAUCAAUCUUACAUGAUGCUUUAUUUAGAUAAAAAUAAAAUACUAAAUUUCAAAUUCA